AGGAUAUCUCUGUAUAAUUCAAAAAAAAAAAAAAAAAAAAAGAGAGUAACAUUUUUUUUUCCUUUUUGUCUUUGGUUCUUGAAAAAAAAAUUUGGCAAAGAGGAUUAGUUUGAUUUCAGAGAUAUCUGUUAAAUUUGAGAGGUGCGAUUGAUUUUAAUAUGGAAACGUCUUUUUCUUAUGUUUGAGACUUUGAGCUAUGACAGACACACCAUUUUAUUGAACAUGCACUUGCUUCGGAAGCGCUAAGUCAUAGCUAGUAUUAGUGGUUUUAUUCAAACUGCGUAAAAGACAGCAUUAACUACUUCUCUUUAAAUGUAUGGUCAUUUUUUUCCUUCGUUAAGGAGGUUGCCACGUACUAUUAACUGCUCGGUCUAGCUCCUAACAACUUAUUGCUUUAUUUUUAUCUGCUGCAUGAUGCAAAAUGUAUGCGUCUUAAGUUGAUUCGGUCACGCAAUGAUUGACCGGAAGAAAACAUCGUACAGGUAUUCAGUUGCUGUCUGAAUUAGGCUUCCAUCUUCAACUUUUAUGGGCCAAUAUUUGGGUUAGAUACUCAGAGAAAAGUACGGGAUAAUACUAACUGCAACAGCCAACUACAAGCCCAAGAAGAGGAACAGUUAGUGUUUGAUGAAGAUUUAUUUUUUUGUAUACAAGUCGGUCAAGGAUAUGUAAAGUCCAACAGGAUUAGGAUGAUCUAACAAAUUCUAACAAAACAUUUGUGAUUAAAACAGAAAAUUUAAGUAUUUUCAAUAUAUUUAAAAACUAUAUAAGAAAACGAAGUUAUAAAUAUCUAUGUCUUUGGACGAUGGCUACAAUUGCUGAGGCUAGCACACAUCCGACAAAUAUGCUCCGUCCCAAAUUUUACGUAAAAUUUCUUGGACGCAAAGAGUGUACGCAUACAUUUACUCGAUUCUCUACGUUUGAAAGCAUUACAACAGUGUGUUCCGUUCCCUUCGACCGGAUUUAUCUAGGGAGCGACACAUGCUUCAAUUGCUUACAUAACCAACAAAAAUGCAAUAAGUCAGGAAGAAAUUAAUAUUUAAAUCAAUUAUAUUUUGGAAAGUAAAAAAUAAUUGUCGGUGUUCGAUUUAAUAUUCAAUGUAAAUUUAGAAAGUUAAUAUUCUAUAUUUGGGAAACUAUUAUUAAUUAGUGAUUGUAAAUAAAUAGAGAAAUAUAUAAAAUUUCAGCAACUUUUACAAAAAAAUAGUAAACACAAAGAAGAAACACUAGUCUAAGCUUCUAUCGAAAAGAAAACCGAGGAAUCUCCAACUUCAUGCUUAAUCAAAUCAAGAGUCCACGGUUUUGUUUUCUAACCACUAUCCAGGGUCUCUGUAGAGUUUGAGACGGUCCUCGCAAAAUGUAUCUUGAACGUUUAACACAAAGAAUCAAAAGACUUAAAGCUACCGAUAGUAAGGCUUUGGAUGCAAUACCGGCCGUGGAACGAAACAGACGAAGCAUUUCAAAACAGUGUUACCUUUUUUGGUAAGAUGGAAAAAAACGUUUCUUUCAGUAACACGAAAGGUUAUAGUUUCAACUAUUCCUAAGUAAAAGAGUCAAUUUGCUGGAUAUUCAUAAGAGGUCCACAAAUGAAGAAUAUAGCCAUUCUACAGUGUUUACUCUUUGAUGUGACAAUUAUAAGCAAAGUUGGACCACUUUCUCCUUAGCGACGCGUCUAUUGUGUAUAUGAAAGACAAAAAAUAAAACUAUACUAUUUUUGAAGAGAAAUAGUAUACAUCGAUCUAUAUAUUGUAUACUAUUUGGAGAAAAAGGAAGAGGAGGAGAAGGACGAGGUAGGAAGAGAUCAGAGGAGGAGGAGGGAGGGAGGGAGGGAGGGAGGGAGGGAGGGGAGGAGGAGGAGGAGAAAGAAGAGAACGGGCGGAGGAAGACGAAGAAAGAAAGAGAACGUUCGAUUUCUAUUCUAUUUUUCAAAUAGAAUAACAAAAAAGUAUUAAAUUUGAGUGUGAAAAAUGAAUGUUAAGAAUCAUGAAACUUAUAAAAAAUACAAUUUGCAGAAGGAUUAAAGAGUGUUGCCAUGAAUAAUGAAGGAGAAAAACUACUACGAAAAGUGGAAGAGAGAAGAAGAUAUAUUGGGAAGAGGUAAGGAGAUUACGGGUGGCAAUGGUGGAAAAGGAGAAGAUGGUGGUGGUGAUGAAACAACUGAACGUGGCGAUGUUACAUGUGGGAUCUUUUGAGGUAACUGAUGGUGAUAGAAGAGGAGGAGGAGGAGGAGGAUAAGACGUGGAGAUGAUGUAACAAUACAUUGCAUUGUACUAUUUUAUGUUUAUCAAAUAGAAUAGUACAACACAACGCGUAUUGUUCAUCUUCUCCAAUAGUUUUACGCAUCCUCUGUUUCUUAAUCCAUAUAUAUCGAAAGUAGUAAAAUUGUAAAUCCAAACAAAGAUAUGAAGAAAAUUGAUCAGACACACUUGUUGGAUCAGAUGAUUGUACGGAAAUAAUUGGCAAAGGUGAUUGUGGUGAUAUUACGAAAGAAAAUGAAAGAUCAGAUAUGAAGUAGACAAAAUUAUAAAGAGCGAGAGAAGAAGAAAAAAGUGGUGCGUGUGAUAAAAGGGUAAAAAGGCAAUUAAUACACAAAUACACAGAAUAUCAUAGCCAAUGCAAUGUUAUGGUUAUAAACUUUAUUUCUAUUUUUCCUAUGAAUAUACGGUCUAAUUCCCCUAAGUAAAAAUUGGGUCGUAAACUAUUUUUAUUUAUUUUAAAAGUAGCACAUAUAGUGAGACAAUAUUCUAUUACUAGUAUUAUCCCCCAAUUUUAAUGUCUUCUAUACUAUCUGAAAAAUUGUAAUGACUAUCAAAAUAGAUUAUAUAUAUAUAUUUUUUUUUUUUUCUUAACCUAGAUAAACAUUCAUACAAAAACUUAGAAGUACUGAAACAAUUUCUAUGAUGUAGUUUUGAAAAAUAUAUACAACAUACAUGUUUUUGAAACAUUGUUCUAAAAAUACUAAGAUAUAUGCUAACACAUAAAAGUAAAUAUUAUAAUACUGCUUUAAAAUAUAAACUUAUUCAUGUUAACAUACAAAAUUAAACAAUUAAAUCAUUGACCAGAAAAAUAAAGAAAUAAUAAACUAUGGUGAAUUAGAAUUUAACUGAAAAUGUUUGUAUAUAAUAAAUCUAACAAAUAGAUAAAAGCUCGACAGUAAAAUCAAAUAGAACAUUUAAACAGAUUUUAGAUAU